AGAGUUUGAUCAUGGCUCAGAGCGAACGCUGGCGGCAGGCCUAACACAUGCAAGUCGAGCGCCGUAGCAAUACGGAGCGGCAGACGGGAGAGUAACACGUGGGAACGUACCCUUUGGUUCGGAACAACCCAGGGAAACUUGGGCUAAUACCGAAUAAGCCCUUACGGGGAAAGAUUUAUCGCCGAAGGAUCGGCCCGCGUCUGAUUAGCUAGUUGGUGGGGUAACGGCCCACCAAGGCGACGAUCAGUAGCUGGUCUGAGAGGAUGAUCAGCCUCAUUGGGACUGAGACACGGCCCAAACUCCUACGGGAGGCAGCAGUGGGGAAUAUUGGACAAUGGGCGCAAGCCUGAUCCAGCCAUGCCGCGUGGGUGAUGAAGGCCCUAGGGUUGUAAAGCCCUUUCGGCGGGGAAGAUAAUGACGGUACCCGCAGAAGAAGCCCCGGCUAACUUCGUGCCAGCAGCCGCGGUAAUACGAAGGGGGCUAGCGUUGCUCGGAAUCACUGGGCGUAAAGCGCACGUAGGCGGAUUGUUAAGUCAGGGGUGAAAUCCUGGAGCUCAACUCCAGAACUGCCUUUGAUACUGGCGAUCUUGAGUCCGGGAGAGGUGAGUGGAACUGCGAGUGUAGAGGUGAAAUUCGUAGAUAUUCGCAAGAACACCAGUGGCGAAGGCGGCUCACUGGCCCGGUACUGACGCUGAGGUGCGAAAGCGUGGGGAGCAAACAGGAUUAGAUACCCUAGUAGUCC
rnacentral:rRNA from 1 species